rnacentral:tRNA from 1 species
UGAGAAGUGGCUCAGUGGUAGAGUGCUUGCCUUGCAUGCAUGAGACCCUGGGUUCGAUUCCUCAGUACCACAA